ACCUGCAGACGUGGCUCUUGACCUUCCCCCAGGCCCGGAGCCAGCACCGCUCUAAUCAAAGCUCACCGUUUCUGCCCCAGUGCGUCAGCGGGUGCCUGUGCUCCCUGGCACAGCACGGCAUGGCACAGUGUGGUACUGCAUGGCAUGGCACGGCACGGCACGGCUGCUUCACCGGCUGCCCACAGCUGCUGGGUGGGUGCGCAGGGGUGGGGAUUUCUCACGUGUAACGACAGCAGCAGAGGUUUGGCAUCUUGCAGGGGUGUUUCAUCUGUCUGCGAAAUUUCCGUUCUCUUUUGCAGAAAAAAAAAGAAAGGAAAAAGCCUUUUCUGUGUUUUCAGCGUUUCUGGCAGUGUCACAGCUCCCGCACACGCAGCCCCAUCUCUCCCCAUGCGUGCCCUGCGCCCACAGCAACCCCCCACCACUGCGGGCAGGGGAGGGCAGAGGGAUAGUGGGAUGGGGGGCCCACAUCCUUCCCCCCACCCUGAGAAGGUGGCCUGGACUGCCGGGAGUAUCAGCAAAAGGUCUGCGGGUCGCAGUGCGGAGAGCAGCUCUUGGCUCCCUGUGCCAGGAAAAUCCUUCGCUCGGCACCUCCUGCGCUGCGCCAAAGGGAGGUGAUCUCCUCAGCACCGGGGGCGUUCACGGCUUCCCCAUCUGCCGGGCUCCUCUCUGGCUUCUCUCCACCCUGGGGAUUUUGCGGUCGUCCUGGUGUCCGGAGGAGCGCUGCCUGCUCCCUGCCAGCGUGCCUGCAGCUCGGCAGUACCCAGCCCUGCCAGGCUCUGCCCGCCAGGCCCUGGGCACCAGGAUCCUCCACAUCCAUCUGCAGCUCUCUGGGAAAAACCCCCUUCAUCCCAGGCUGCCAGCGCAGGUCUCGCAGCUACGAGCUCUGCAGCAGCCCCGGCCCCCCCGCAGCCGGGAGAUGCCCGUGGCUCCGGGCGAAGGAAGGGCAGGUUUGUGCUGGGGGGCAGAGGCUGAGCCCGGCCGGUUCUCCCUCCUGGGGACCAGGGCCGGCUGCCCGGCAUGCUCCCGGGACACCAGUGCCAGCCCUGAGGUUGGCACAGGGAAAGGCUCCUGCUGUCCCCAUGCCACAGGCGACCUGGCAGGUUCAAUUAUAUUUUUCCACCAACCUUAAAUUUAUGAUUUCAGGGAUUAGUUUAAUUUAGAGCCUGGAACAUCGGGACGGAGGAUCGUGCAGGGUGAGUAAUUGCGAGGACAGUGCAUCUGCUAGCAGCGCCGUUUUAGGCUCCGUUUCAUUAGUGGGCCCUGCACGUCGUUAUCUCGGCUGCGUGCCAGGCACCUGACGGGAGGGACCACAGCCCGCUCCAUCCCGGUCAAACCCGCCACACCGAAAGCCAGGGGUUUGCAGGGUUUCUCAGCAGUUUUCCUCCCAGAGUUAUUUAUAUUUGUCCAUGUUUCCACCUGCAAGACCUCUGGGAAGCUCGUUCCUUCCCAGCCUGCGGCAAGAGAGGAGCCUUUGUGUUUGUCCUGCCUGUGCCAGUUACUGCUGUGGUUUGCCCUUGUCGGCUGCUGGAGCCCAGUGAGUGCCGGGGGAAAGCCGGGCCGGCUCCUGUCCCUCCUGCGGGGUGGCCGGAGGCUCCCCAGGCUCUGCCAUGUGUCCCUGCAGCCGGUGGGUCUGUCACCCUGCGGGACGCAUGGCGGAGGCACCGUGGGUUCCCGGGGUCUCCCGCAGUACCUGCCUCCCCCCGGGGCUCCCACCUCCCGAGCCCCUUUGCUCCUUUCCCCCACCCGCUCCUGCUCUGGAGAGGCAAAACUCUGUGUAAAAGCCUCUCAAGACACAAGUUUCUCACAAAUUCUGCCUGAAGUCUGGAGCCCUGUGCCUCGCUCUCGGCUGCCCGGGAUGUUUGCACGUUUCUGCUCCCCGCUCCUUUGUGCAAGUGUUGCAGGUUUUUUGCCUUCUGCACAGCUCUUCUUGCUUCCCCAGGGCUGCUGGGCUCAUUAAUUUCCCUCUCAUUAGGGCCCUGAGUACCUCCCAGUCAACAUUUUUAGACGUUUGACCUAUAUGCAGAUGAUUUAUUUUCGUGUGUGAUGCCAGCCCGAACGGCAGCAUCCCUCCUCGGGGAGGCGUGCAGCUCCCGGGACUGUUCCCUUGGCUGCAGGGAAAGGCACGUCCGUCCCUUUUUGCCCUGCCAUGCCCCAGCUCUGCACCCCGGUCCCGGGCUGCUGUGGGUCCUGGGGCUGCCUGAGCCCGGUCCCCCAGGAGGGGACAGGGAACACGGGGCACCAGGAGCCUGCCUGACGUCUCUGCCUGAGCCGAGGUGCUGGGUGCUGUGGGUGCCGUUCUCCCCUCGCUGCCUGCUUCUGCCCAUUGCAGAGUUGCUGGUAAAAAUGGGAAGGGAAGCGGCAAACAGCUCUCAGGGGCGCAGGGGGAAUGCGUAUGGCCCUUCCUGGGUCUCUGCCCCGUGCCCUGGGGGGGCUGUAGGGGACGGUUCUCCGCUGAGCCCUCCCGGAGCUCUGGCACAGUCCCACCUGGGCCUUGGUCCCUCUCCUGGGUCUCGGCUCACCCUCGAGGCGCAGUCCCCAGGAGCGGGGUACGGUGCUGCCAACCCAAGGCUCGCCCCAUCCCAGCCGGGCUGGGACUGGCCUCGGGCUCAGGGGCGGCGCGGGCCUGCCAGGGGGCUGCCCCUCUGCAAGGGGUGAGCGGUAAGGGGGACAGUCACCACAGAGGGGCCUUGUGCCAGG
rnacentral:lncRNA from 1 species